ACAGUGGCAGGGGAGACACCUUGAUCAUGAAGGAGGUUUUCCCAGGGUGAGGCUCAGCCAUUUCAUUCCAUCUGUGCUGACUCCUGCGAUUUCCCCAAAAGGGGAAAACUCAACUGCUUAAUUUGUGGUAGUGGGGAACUGCAUGCACACUUAAA
rnacentral:snRNA from 1 species